GCCUUCGUGGUGUAGUGGUCAGCACACACAGCGCGUAUUCGAGAGGUCCGUGGUUCGAGUCUUUGCGAGGGCA
rfam:Stegodyphus mimosarum contig90662, whole genome shotgun sequence.